UUUAUGCCUCAUGAAUUUGGUAUCCUCUCUAUUUGAGGGGAUCUUGUAAUCCAGGGGCCAAAGGCAGUGCAUUUUGAAGAAGAGCUUUGCUCAUUCUAAUUUACAUUCCGAGUUACCAACAUGGAAAAUCUUUAUGUUUUGUGGUAUAAUAACUUAAAUUGUAUCAUAUUUGUUUGUGCUGUCUCAUAUAUGCACUUAUCUGAUUGUGAAUUUGAAUUAUAUAAAACAACUAGAAUGGUCAAAAGUUCUG
rnacentral:misc_RNA from 1 species